rnacentral:rRNA from 1 species
UACGUAGGGUGCGAGCGUUGUUCGGAAUUACUGGGCGUAAAGCGCGCGCAGGCGGCUAUCCAAGUCAGUGGUGAAAGCCCGGAGCUCAACUCCGGAACUGCCAUUGAAACUGUUUAGCUUGAGGAUGAGAGAGGUGAGUGGAAUUCCCAGUGUAGAGGUGAAAUUCGUAGAUAUUGGGAAGAACACCGGUGGCGAAGGCGGCUCACUGGCUCAUUACUGACGCUGAGGCGCGAAAGCUAGGGGAGCAAACGGG